rnacentral:rRNA from 1 species
UCGGGGGUAGAGCACUGUUAUGGCUAGGGGGUCAUGGCGACUUACCAAACCAUUGCAAACUCCGAAUACUGAGAAAUGCAAUUACGGGAGACAGACCAUGGGUGCUAACGUCCGUGGUCAAGAGGGAAACAACCCAGACCGACAGCUAAGGUCCCAAAUGACGUGCUAAGUGGAAAACGAAGUGGGAAGGCAUAGACAGCCAGGAUGUUGGCUUAGAAGCAGCCAUCAUUUAAAGAAAGCGUAAUAGCUCACUGAUCGAGUCGUCCUGCGCGGAAGAUGUAACGGGGCUAAGCACGUAACCGAAGCUUCGGAUGCCCUAAUUUAUUAGGUGCAUGGUAGGAGAGCGUUCUGUAGGCCUGCGAAGGUAUUCUGUGAGGAGUGCUGGAGGUAUCAGAAGUGCGAAUGCUGACAUGAGUAGCGUUAAAGGGGGUGAAAAGCCCCCUCGCCGAAAGCGCAAGGUUUCCUACGCAACGUUCAUCGGCGUAGGGUGAGUCGGCCCCUAAGGCGAGGCAGAGAUGCGUAGCUGAUGGGAAACAGGUCAAUAUUCCUGUACCGAUGUGUAGUGCGAUGUGGGGACGGAGAAGGUUAACUCGGCCGGGUGUUGGAUGUCCCGGUUCAAGCGUGUAGGUUGGUUCUUUAGGCAAAUCCGGAGAGCUAAGACUGAGACGUGAUAACGAGCGUACUUGUACGUGAAGUGAUUGAUACCAUGCUUCCAAGAAAAGCCACUAAGCUUCAGUUGUAUAGAGACCGUACCGCAAACCGACACAGGUGGGCAGGAUGAGAAUUCUAAGGCGCUUGAGAGAACCCGGGAGAAGGAACUCGGCAAAUUAGCACCGUAACUUCGGGAGAAGGUGCGCCCCGGUAACGUGUAUAGACUUGCUCUAGAAGCGUGAUGGGGUUGCAGUGAAAAGGUGGCUGCGACUGUUUAAUAAAAACACAGCACUCUGCAAACACGAAAGUGGACGUAUAGGGUGUGACGCCUGCCCGGUGCUGGAAGAUUAAAUGAUGGGGUGCAAGCUCUUGACUGAAGUCCCAGUAAACGGCGGCCGUAACAAUAACGGUCCUAAGGUAGCGAAAUUCCUUGUCGGGUAAGUUCCGACCCGCACGAAUGGCGUAACGAUGGCCACACUGUCUCCUCCAGAGACUCAGCGAAGUUGAAAUGUUUGUGAUGAUGCAAUCUCCCCGCGGAAAGACGGAAAGACCCCAUGAACCUUUACUGUAGCUUUACAUUGGACUUUGAACAGAUCUGUGUAGGAUAGGUGGGAGGCUUUGAAGCGGUGCCGCUAGGUGUCGUGGAGCCAACGUUGAAAUACCACCCUGGUGUGUUUGAGGUUCUAACCUAGGUCCAUUAUCUGGAUCGGGGACAGUGCAUGGUAGGCAGUUUGACUGGGGCGGUCUCCUCCCAAAGCGUAACGGAGGAGUUCGAAGGUACGCUAGUUACGGUCGGACAUCGUGACGAUAGUGCAAUGGCAUAAGCGUGCUUAACUGCGAGACUGACAAGUCGAGCAGGUACGAAAGUAGGACAA